rnacentral:rRNA from 1 species
UACGGAGGGGGCUAGCGUUGUUCGGAAUUACUGGGCGUAAAGCGCACGUAGGCGGCUUUGUAAGUUAGAGGUGAAAGCCCAGGGCUUAACCCUGGAAUUGCCUUUAAGACUGCAUCGCUAGAAUCGUGGAGAGGUGAGUGGAAUUCCGAGUGUAGAGGUGAAAUUCGUAGAUAUUCGGAAGAACACCAGUGGCGAAGGCGGCUCACUGGCCCGUUACCGACGCUCAGGCGCGACAGCGUGGGGAGCAAACAGG